CCCCAUGCGGGGCUUGAACCCAUGAAUUGCGAGAUCGUGCCCUGCGCCGAAGUCAGACGCUCAACCCACUGAGCCACCCGGGCGCCCCCACUGAGGGCAUUUUGAAUGCACAUCAACAUUGCUCCUGUCUGAGUACCUCCCGGGGGGGGGGGAAGGGGGGCGACUUCUGAAGCAUCCCCUAAAGCCGGCCUGAAGCCUAGAGAGGCAAGGGUGCCGAGCCUGGGCCAAGGGGGAGCCCUGACCUCCCCUAGAAGGAAUUCCUGUGUUUGUGCAAUCGCUUGCUGAGUUCCUCCUCCUGCUCCAGGAGGGCAGGACCCGGGUCUUCGCGAGGAGUCCCCUCAAACCGUCCAGCACCCGGUAGCGGCCGGACAGUAGCUGUUGAAAUAGACAAGCGUGAUGGACGAGUCAGCGAGUGCAUGCAUUCUGGCAACCCUAGGCCUCCCGCCCUGUGGCCCCCUUGGGGUGUGCGCCCUCACUCCCCAGCUGGCUGGGGGGAGGCUGCUGUGUGUGGACCAGCUGAGUCAGGCCCUCACCCUGGGCCACGGGCCACCGUGGCUGUCGCUGAUCUUGCUGACGGGGCUGAAACUGCGUCGCACCUCCCUCUGCAGCCCGCCAUUACUCAUGGUUGGCGUUUAUCCCCAAGCAAGGGAUGACCCCGCGGAGCAGCCCGGAGCCUCCCACGUGUUCUGAGGCAGGGGUGGCCGGAGGCUGGACUCCGAGGAGGCACAGCAGGACUUGUGAGCAGCUGCUCUGAGUGCCGUGACCAUAUUUUUCUGAGCUGAGAAAUGAGGACACAGGAUGUAGUGGAGGGUUUUCUCAGAUUUGUCUCAUCAGAGGUAUGCAAGUUAAAGCUUAUUUAGCUAUGUAGAUAAGGGAGUGUCUUUGCUGAAAAGAACCCGGGUUUCCCAAAUCAGGGAGAUUCGGGAAAUUCAUAAGUCAAUUUGACUAAUCUUUUGGGGGCACCUGGGUCAAGCCUGUCCUUGGUGUUUGCACUGCAGCAAGGAGCAAAAACAGGCAUGAUCCUGGCCUCGUGGAACUCGUGUGGGGUGGCCGAGAGUCUGCAAAUGCUCGCACGGUUCAGUACCGUGAGCAUAUGUGAGAAUUGCUAUGGGGGGGGGGGGCGGCAAGGGUUCCCGAGUGGAGGAGCUUGGGGUGUCCUGGAAGGCUUCUCUGAAGAAUUAAUGUUUGAGGGGAAACAGAGCCUCUUAAGGUGAACUGUUGAAGGGAUGGGAGUGGAGUGGGGUGGGGAAAGUGCAUUUCAGGCAGGAAGGAGGGCAUGUGCAAAGGGCCUGUGGCAGAAAGGAGUGCUGGGAGUCUGAGGGACAGGAGGGCAGCCCAGUGACCGGGAUGUGACGAGUGAUGGGAAGAGGAAGUUGGAGGUGUCGGCAGGGGCCAGACCGGGCCGCGCCCACCAGUCCACGAGCGUGGGGUACGUUCUCCUGCUGGUCGCGGGCAGCCAUGGACGGUUUGACACAGUGAUCAUCGGAGACAGGAAAAUCGAAAGCACAUGAGAUACCGCUCCACAGAAAGUAACAAGUGCUGGUGAGGAUGUGGAGAAAUUGGAACCUUGGGCACCAUUUGUGGGGACGUAAAAUGGUGCAGCCCCUGUGGAAGAACAGGAUGGCGUUUCUUCAAAAAAUUAAAAAUAGAAUUACCAUAUGAUCCAGCAUUUCCACGUCUGGGCAUAUACCCAAAAGAAUCGCAAGCAGGGUCUCAAACAGAUACAUGUACACCCAUGUUCCCUGCGGUGUUAUUCACAAUAGCCCAAAGGCAGAAACGACACAAGUGUAUCCAUCGACGCAGCACGUGGGCUAUGCGUACAAUGGAAUAUCAUUCAGCCUUAAAAAGGAAGGCAGUUUGGACACAGGCUUCGCCGUGGAUGAGCCUGGAGGACAUGGUGCGAAGGGAAAUAAACCGGGCACCAAAGGACGAAUACUGUAUGAUUCCACUCACACCGGGGACUUGGAAGGGGCAAAUUCGUAGAGACACAAAGGAGAAUGGUGGGUGCCAAUGGCAGAGGGGAGGGGAAGUGGGGAGUCUGUGUUUAACGGGUACGGGGUUUAGCAAGAUAACAAGAGUUCUGGGGAUGGAUGGUGGUGAUGGGGGCACACGGCGCUGGACGGACUUAAUACUCCCAGGCUGCACACUUGAAAAUGGCCAAGAUCGAAAAUUAAGCCAAACAAAACAAAACAAAACACAAAAACAGCCCCGCCCCCCUGUUAUUCUAAGUUCUCUCAAGUUGUCAAUGGCGGGCUUUCUUUUUAGCUACGUUUAUAAGAAAUAAACUAGGGGUGCCUGGGUGGCUCAGUCGGU